rnacentral:rRNA from 1 species
CUCUAAUAGAUUUAAUUAUUGGUAAAAUCUGCUCAAUGAAUUUUAAAUAGCCGCAACUAUAUUGUGCUAAGGUAGCAUAAUCAUUUGUCUUCUAAUUAAAGACUAGAAUGAAAGAUCCAACAUUUAUAUUUAUAUUUUAAUAACUUAUUUUAAAUUAUCUUAAUAUAAAAAGAUAUUUAUUUAUAAAAAAGACGAUAAGACCGAAUUGAACUUUACUAUAGUUUAACUGGGGUAGUAAUAAUUAUUAUUUAAUUUCUUUUUAUAAAAAAUCCUGAUAAAAAUCAAAAAGAUUAAGUUACCAUAGAGAUAACAGCGUAAUAAUUUUUUCAAGCUCUUAUUUUAAAAAUAACUUGCGAACUCGAUGUUGAAUUAAUAGCCUAAUAAAUGCAACAAAUUAAUAAGGAAGUCUGUUCGACUUUUAAUUAAUU